rnacentral:rRNA from 1 species
UACGAAGGGGGCUAGCGUUGCUCGGAAUCACUGGGCGUAAAGGGUGCGUAGGCAGGUCUUUAAGUCAGGGGUGAAAUCCUGGAGCUCAACUCCAGAACUGCCUUUGAUACUGAAGAUCUUGAGUUCGGGAGAGGUGAGUGGAACUGCGAGUGUAGAGGUGAAAUGCGUAGAUAUCUGGAGGAACACCGGUGGCGAAGGCGGCAUCCUGGACCGAUAUUGACGCUGAUGCGCGAAAGCCAGGGGAGCAAACGGG